AACCAACGCUGGCGGCAUGCCUAACACAUGCAAGUCGAACGAGACCUUCGGGUCUAGUGGCGCACGGGUGCGUAACGCGUGGGAACCUGCCCUUAGGUUCGGAAUAACUCCCCGAAAGGGGUGCUAAUACCGGAUAAUGUCUUCGGACCAAAGAUUUAUCGCCUUUGGAUGGGCCCGCGUUGGAUUAGCUAGUUGGUAGGGUAAAAGCCUACCAAGGCGACGAUCCAUAGCUGGUCUGAGAGGAUGAUCAGCCACACUGGGACUGAGACACGGCCCAGACUCCUACGGGAGGCAGCAGUGGGGAAUAUUGGACAAUGGGCGAAAGCCUGAUCCAGCAAUGCCGCGUGAGUGAUGAAGGCCUUAGGGUUGUAAAGCUCUUUUACCCGGGAUGAUAAUGACAGUACCGGGAGAAUAAGCUCCGGCUAACUCCGUG
rnacentral:rRNA from 1 species